UGCUGGCUGUAACCUCCCAAGGACGAUUACUGCUUGCCUGAAGAUUAGGUCACCUGGAAGGACAUUAAAGGCCACUGGUCUAGUGAGGGUUCUGAAAUGAACCAUUUUCUCAAGACGCAGGGCCUUCUAAUGGAAAUCAUGACAACAAGGGCUACUAUUUUGAGAAAAGUUACUCAGUGGCAGGCUUGGGUCCAAAUGCUUCGUGCGCACGCUCCGCUCUCCUCAGCUGAAAGGAUACUUGUUAUAGCUACGGCCUCGGUGGCUCGACUGCCUUGGGUUCUAAUUAGAAGACCUUGGGCCAGUCGCAGGCCCUCCACCUACCUCCUGCUUUGUCUGGAGAUUGAGGUUACAAAUGAUUUUCACCUCAAAGGAUUAUAGAGGACCUGACUCAUACUUGGUGAACCAUCUUGACAGCCUCCACCUGAGAUUCUUUGUGGUUCUCACCCUAAUGCCAUGAGAUUUGGAGUUGGACCAUUUGAUGGUGAUUAAUUGAUGUUGUAAGACUGGACCACUAUCAAAAGAAGAACCUAAGCCCAAUUCCAAGGCGGCUCAAUGAACCUCUUUCUGGUCACUUCCCUAGACAACGUCCAGGGUGUUUUGCUGGCUGAUGCAGAUUCAGGACUGUGUAUGACAACAGCCAUGAGUCAGACCUAGAAGACAUCAACCCUUGCUGCUCCAACCAUCAUCUGGGAUGUGAUAAGAUCAGUGUUUCAGGGGAGCUUUUCAAUGAGGGUGCGUGUUUGAGCUGAUGAUUUCAUGAACACAGAAGAACUGAAGAAGGGGGAGGAGCUAUGAGUUCCCUUGUUUGUCAGCUCUUUCACACAUUGCUCUGAGACCCUCCUCUGCAAGAGACAUCCUUUGCCCCCUGGAAGACACAUCUUCACAUACCCAGCCUGCACUUACUGGAUCACAAACAGAUAGAGGUGGGAGCUCAGUCGCCCAGGAUGUGUGACUCAGUGUGAAGACUGGUGGGGUAUGGAGCAGAUAUCCCUGAGUUCAUUCACUUGAGACCACAACAGCUAGCAUCUUUGGAGUGGUGGCUCCUUUAAGAGUCAGAGGAGACAAGUGCUGGAUUGUGUCAACUCUAAGUCUAUACCGUGGCUAGAAGGCUCUAGAUAAUGUUUCACUUCUUAUGUCUCCUAUCUGCAAAUAUGAGGAGUGGGGAUGGUUAAGAAUUUGGGUCCUGGGGUCUGACAUUGCCAGGGGUUUAGGCCUCUGGUCCACUGGGCGAGGAAUGUAUGGGUUAGUGAAAGUAAUUUUUGUUCCCACUUUCUGGCAUGUGGCUGUGGUCACAGACUUUAAUGACAUAAAACAACAGCAAAAUCAUAAACAGAGCACAGAGCAAGUGAUGCCCAUGGUCCAGAGAACAGGGCAUGAGGUACCCUCUGCGAAUGUGGGAAAGAAAUUGGCAGGCCUCGAAUGGGGACUAGAAGCCAGCCUCUAGUGCUUUUCUUCCUCUGGACCGUUUCUUCCAUCCUGCUCUGUGCUCAUGCAAAGCAACAUCAAAAGGAAUCCUCUCAUUAACCCUUUGUGUCGUCUUUGUUCCCGAUUUAGAGCACCCACACUCAGAUUAUUUUUAGAGGCUGCGAGGAGUCAGAAGUCACCCCUGUUCACAGAGAACCCAGCUGCCAUCUUCAAAGGUAGCCCUGGUUCCGCCCUUUGCAGGACAUUCUGGGGCACAGACAGAAAACACAAAGGCUAGAGAUCUUUACUGUCUUUCUGAUGCUUACCUUCUCCCUCCCCCACCCACAUGACCUGCGAAAGUUAAAAUUCUCUCUCUCUCUCUCUCUCUCUCUCUCUC